GUCAAGUCCUCAUGGCCCCUAUGUCCAGGGCUACACACGUGCUACAAUGGUCGCCACAAUGGGUCGCGAACCCGCGAGGGGGAGCCAAUCUCAAAAAAGCGGCCUCAGUACGGAUAGGAGUCUGCAACUCGACUCCUUGAAGUCGGAAUCGCUAGUAAUCGCUGAUCAGCAUGGCAGCGGUGAAUACGUUCCCGGGCCUU
rnacentral:rRNA from 1 species